rnacentral:rRNA from 1 species
UACGUAGGGGGCUAGCGUUGUCCGGAAUCAUUGGGCGUAAAGAGCGUGUAGGCGGCCCGGUAAGUCCGCUGUAAAAGUCAAAGGCUCAACCUUUGAAUGUCAGUGGAUACUGCCGGGCUAGAGUCCGGAAGAGGCGAGUGGAACUCCUGGUGUAGCGGUGGAAUGCGCAGAUAUCAGGAAGGAACACCCAGCGGCGAAAGGCGGCCUGCUCG